AGGCACUGGCACAUCUCCACUUAAUAGAAUAUGUUGGAGAGCAGACUGCUUUGCUAAUAAAGAUGGUCCCAGAGGAUCAGCGCCUCACAACUGCCAUCAUCCUGGUGGUCUGGGUUUCAGCCAUUGCAUCAUCCUUGAUUGACAACAUCCCAUUCACCGCAACAAUGAUUCCUGUGCUCCUGAACCUCAGCCAAGACCCCGAGGUCAGCCUGCCUGCACCACCACUCAUGUAUG